GGCCGCCUCCGCCUCCGCCGCCGCCGCCGCGCCUGCCGCUGCCAAACCCCUCCCACCCGGGCCCCGCGGCGAUGACUGGGCCACCCCCUGGCCUUCCUUCUCUCAGCCCUCAGGUCCCGAGAGCCCCGGCCCAGAGCGGCCUCUGCUGGACAGUCAAGACACGAGACCCUGGGUUCAGCAAAUGUUUGCAGCGCCUUGCACUGUGCUGGGAACUAGGGAUGCAAAGAAAUGUGAGCACAUCUCUGCCCUUAGGAAUCUAGCUCAGCUUUUCCUACAUGAGCUUACAGCCUUUAAAAAGGUGACCUUAUGCCAUUUUAGGAGUUCCCUCGGAGAACCGGCACAUGUUCCAAGAAUGAGGACCUUCUUCAUUUGUCAAAACACUUCUGCGUGUACAUCAUUAAACCCUCAUCCACAUUAAACCCGGCUGAGCUUCCUGGGGCCCGAACCAGGAUGUCUGCCGCUGCAUUCAGCUUCUUACUAGAAGAAAAUACUGUCGGGGGGAUAACUAAGCCAGACACCCUACUAGGCGUUGUUUCAUGAAUCCUUCUAAGAAUUAUUAUUAUUCCAUUUUACAGGUGAGAAAAUGAAGGCACAGAGAAGACAAUGUUCUCAAGGUCGCAUAACUGACAGGGUCUUGCUCUGUCUCCCAGGAUCCAGGAUGGAGUGCAGUGGCAUGAUCAUGGCUCACUGUAGCCUCGAACUUCCUGCUUCAGCCUCCUGAGUAGCUGGAACUACAGGUGUGUAUCAUCAUGCCUAGCUAAUUUUUUUUUUUAAUGUUUUAUAGGGAUGGGGUCUCUGUGUGCUGCCCAGGCUGGUCUUGAAUUCCUGGGCUCGAGCAAUCCUUCAGACUCAGCCUCCCAAAGUGCUGGGAUUACAGGUGUGAGUCACUGCACCUGGCCAAAUUUGUUUUGUUUGACAUGACAUGCUAACUUCAUAGAGAAAAUGUCUCACAAAUACUGAAGCCUAAAUAACCAUAGUUUGUCUGUUAAUAAUGUUUUCAAAUGAAAAUAGUGUUUCAUAAAAAAGUGGCUAGGUUAGCUUUCAAUUCAUCACAUACAUACAUUUCCUUGGAACAACCACUUACUUUGGUAUUCAGCAAAAAUGCUUUAUGCAUACUUUUCAUUCAUUUAUAUGAAAAAGAUGUGUGUUCAAGAUCAAGAUUUUAUAAAAAUUAAGAAUUUUUGCUGCUUCAUUAAGGACAUUCAUAAGGACAUGAAUGGUGGUAAUACAAUGACUACUAGUAUAGUUUGGUGCCACUGCCUACAUUUGUGUUAAAGCACCAGAAGUUUUAUCCACAAUUGCUUUUGUAGCAUCAAUGGAAAAAUCAAAAUGCAAAAAAAGAGAUAAAUAACAUCUUAGUAAUAUUAUGAAAAUAGCUUUGACUCCACAGAUGUAAAAGGAUCAGACUCCUAGGAGUUUGUGAACCACACUUUGAGAACUGCUGGCCUAGAGAAAUAUCUUAGAAAAUUGUGAAGGACAUUAACUGUUUCAACUGCCUAGAGUAUCCCUUUCUUCAGGUAAGUGUUCUUUCCUCUGCUUUAAGCAACUAGUUUCAAUGGCGGUGGCUAUUUUCCUAUGGAGGCUGCCUCCUACCCUAUGGGUGACUGGUAUAGGGUAGACACCAGCCUCUUUAUAUUCAGUAUACUUUCUCAGAAUUCUUAAACUUGGAACCAGAAAAUGUCACUAAUAGUUGCUCUCUGGGAACAAAGUUAUGAAGUUCUGGCAUUUUGGUGAACCACCCAAGCAUGUAGAAAAAGCUAGUCUAAAAUAGGAUAGAUAAACCCAACUCUCAGAGAGAACCAGAAAUGGGAGAAGGCUUGGUAGCAUUCCAGUCCCUGGUUCCACUUGUCCUUGAGGCUCGACCACAUUCUUGCCCUUCCUGCUACUCUGUAAGCAUUUUGAUAAAUUUCCCUUGCCUCUAAACACUUUAUAUUUUCACAAACUUUAUGAGUUUGUCCAACUGUCUUUUUUUCUGAACACUUUUGCUAGCAUCAGUUGUUACACAGUUUAGUAGAUUCCACUUCAGAUUACGCUGAAUUUGAGUUUUCUCGACUUUGAAAAUAUUCUUGACUGCAGUUUUACUCAGACCAUUCAUAGAGGCUAUGAAUUCAUGUUAUUCACUUCAAAGUCAGUAUUAAAUUAUCAAAUAAACAUCAACAACUGAAUAGUGUUUGGUAACAACUGUCAACUCAUCAAGAGCCAAAGAAAAACACUAGAAAUUAUUUUCCUUCUUUCUUAAUUUAUCCAAAAUUGACUCCCAACAUCCUCAACUUAUUAAGCAACUGUUCUCACAGAAAGAUUAAUAAUCUAAACAAGUUUACUUUCUUUGUACAUCUUUUUUUUGCUGUUAUUGUUGCUACAAUUGAAUAAAAUAUAAUUAACUUGCACCUGGUAAAUGGCUUUUCUUGCUUGACUAAAAACCAAACUACUUGGAAACUUACUUUGGUUGAAGAUUCAUUUCAGACUUUUGUGGGAAAAAUCUACUGAGAUAUUUUGUUUUGAAGUUUCAAAUUUUUCUGACUCAGGGAGUAUUGUACAUCAAAGAUAGUGUGGCAAUUAUUUAGUCUGGUACUGUAGACCUAUGUUGUAUUCUUCUAAAGUAGCAAUGACAUAAUAACAUGUAUAAAACACAAUGCUUACAAUUGAUUUAGAUAACAAAAUAAUCUACUUUCCAUUCUAUUUUUAAAAUGUGAUAUUCAAAAUCUGUUUUUCUCUUCAUUUUCUUGUUUGUUUUAUUUUGGCAAGAUGCGUAUGCAAUAACAAUAAAAAAAUAAGAUAAAACGCAGUGGUAUGUGCUGAAUGUGUCCUCUAAAGAGCAUGUAUUGAAAUUUCAAUUCUUAAUGCAUUGUGUUGGGAGAUGGGGCUUAAUGAGAGAUGAUUAGGCCAGGGGGGUGAAGUGAAUGAAGUAAUAUUAUUAUCAUGAGAGUAGGUUUGAUAUAAAAGAUCAACCCCUUUCUCUCUGUUGUGCCCACCUUUGCCCUUAGCCGUGAGAUGACACAACAAGAAGGCCUUCACACAAUGCCAGCCCC
rnacentral:lncRNA from 1 species